rnacentral:rRNA from 1 species
UAAGGUGACUAUUGCGAUGGGGCUCACCUCUUCCCUUUCCGAACAGAGAAGUUAAGUCCAUCAGCGCAGAUGGUACUGCCAUUAGGUGGGAGAGUAUGUCGUUGCCUUCC